rnacentral:lncRNA from 1 species
ACAAAGCUCGACUUGUUGCGAAAGGUUUUCGACAAGUUCAAGGAGUUGAUGUGACACCCCGACUCAGAGAAACCGGAACGCCCCGUAUUCCAGCCCAGAGAUCGAGGAGAAGUCUCUGGAAUACGAGACUGCUUGACAUAGAACAAAUCAGCUCUUAUUACAAGAAUAAUAAUACCAGGGUCUGAUGUUACAAAGAAGCACAUCAGCAUAGCGACACUACGCCUGCGAUACUACACUUGCUCUAUGCUAGCAGUGGAACAACUUGUAGCAGCGGAAUACUUCUAGCAGCAGAACAACGAUGAAGGUGGUGAACUCCACUCCGCAGGGACUCUGGCUGGGACACGAUCUAGCUCGCACGCACGGCAACCAUCGACAAGCAAUCAAGCAAUCAUGGCAUCACCUGCAAUCUGGCAUGACACGCCAGGUCAGUACAUUGAAUGUACUUGCAAGCUCACAACAACCAUAAACAUCAAGGCAAUACAAUAACAUAGCAUUAACAGGUUAAUUAUUUAACAACUACCAUGAUGAAACAACUACUAAGGAUGGUAUGAAACUGAUACAAUACUAAUAAAUCACCAUCUCAGAUCUCCAUAACCAUAUCUCUCUUGGCUAACCGGCCAAGCAAUAUACCAUCUCGAUCACCUCGUGAUCAAAACCAAACGGUGAUCUUUUCGGCGAUCACAACCAUGAACAACACUUGGUCUCAAAUGGUGAUCCUUCCGGCGAUCACUACCAUGACCAACACUUGGUCUCCAACAUCAUCAUCAACAUCCUGCCAAUCUGUAGUGCUCAACAUAUCAACAUAUAAAUAUAUCACCUAUAAGUCAUUCCGUCAUGUGAGUGUUGAUCGAACGGUGUGACCUAGUACGAACCCUUGCCCAUGACCGAGGACGUGGCUAUCGAUAGAUUUAAAUACACACUCUGUAGAGGUAGCACACUUUACACACACCACGGAACCCAUGGCCUCGCACUCCCAUUCGAGUGGACCAACGGCGUUCCGACAAAACCGAUCUACUGCCAUGACACUCUCCCGGCCACUCCGACCCCAACUGGGCUAGUCCUGGGUGGCCCCGUGUCUACCAAAGACACAACAACCACCGUCGUGGCCAAAAUGUCCCUCACGGGGACCGUGCACAUAACAACAACAACGGUCACACAAGGCUUAUGUUCGCCUACCAGAUCAGGGUAGUGCGCACCCAUAACCUUCCCUAGUUGGAGGCACCGGCGAGAGGCACGGCAGUAGACCACAUUAGGGCCUUCCCAUAAAGGCAAAUGUGGUUGCACUGGAAAAGCCCGGUUCGGUGGCACCUGACCAACUUAAUGACGGAAUUCAUUCCCAAAAUAUAAUAGUAAUGACUGAUACUCCGAUAUCAUCUAUUAACCUAUAAUCCAAGUCAUAGCAAUAUCCAACAAAUAAUCCAAAUCUUAAUAUCAUCAUACCAAAAUACUCUGAGGACAGUAUAACACUACUAUCAUGAUGAACCCAAGAACGAUAAUACUACUACUCAAAUAACUAUCCAGCUAUGGUCCACAUGCAAGCAUCAUCUCCAUCAUCAUAUUCCAUAACAUAAUAUCAUGAUGAAAAUAACACUAGCCACUAAUAAUCCAAAGGCAACAUGAUAUUCAAAGUAGUGCUCCAAGAUAAUAACAGAUACCAUCGUGACAAUAAUCAUACUAGCCACUAAGAAUCCAAAGGCAACAUGUCAUCCAAAGUAAUACUCCAAAGCAUAUUACCAUCAUGAACAUAAUCAUAAUAGCCACUAAGAAUCCAAAGGCACAUGUCACCCACAUAAUCAUCAAAAUAUAAGUCCUAGAACUCCAAGCAAUAUCAUGGCAAUAUCAACAUCAAAACAAUACUCCGAGUCAUGCCAUGAAUAGAUCAUACAUAGCUAAUGCAAUGUUUUAAACGAAUUCAAAUAAAUAAACCAUGUCACUGCAUUGCAAUCAUGCAAAUGGAGGGUGUGGCUUGCCUGGGGGUGGAAGAAAUCACCGAGAAGAAGUGCGAGAAGCUCGCGGAACGGAUCGCGGGAAACAGAUCUCUCUCGGAGGGGACUGAUUAAUGGCAAGGGCAAAAUAGUCAUUUUCAGAAUGUUGAAACAUAAUUAAAAUGAUACCAACAGAACGGGCUCGAGGAAACGAAGAAGUGGGCUUUGGAAUCACCUCAUUUGGAGUUGUGAGCAAAAAGAUAUAGCUAUUUUUCUGCCAGGGACCCAUCUGUAAAGAAAUAUUUUUCAGCCUGGGCCUAAACAGAAAAACUGAAAGCGCCUACGGCUGAAAUACGUUUUCAGAAAAGGGAAACGUAUUUCUAGUCGCAGUUAACCAAAGUACGCUUUCUGGACAGGAAAACGCAUCCCGGAUGAUACGUGUCCACUUAUGUGACUAGGCAGAGGCGGGACCGGGUGCGUGGUCGCUGACCGGCGGUUCCCAUGGGCUGUGGGGCCCGUCACUUAUCCAGCUAGGCAGGCGGGGUCAAUGCCUACCCGCCGACAGGUGGGGCCGAGUGGAGAUGGGGCCCGCCUGGCCUGGCUCCUUCUUCCUCCUCCCGCUCGCCCGAGAUGCAGAGACGAGACCGGCGGCCUGACGCGGAUUCCCGGCGACUCUGGCCACCCCUCGCGGCGUGCGACCUACGGGAGUGAUCAGCGCGACGAGGCGGAUCCAUACAGGCAAGAUGCAGCCAUGGGGAAGAGCUCGGCUGAGCGGGAGGCCAGCCGCGGCGGACGGCGAUCUUCGGUCGGCGGCGAGCUCAUGGCAGAAGGCCACCGGAGGGGAGGGAGAGCAUGGG